UACGAAGGGGGCUAGCGUUGCUCGGAAUCACUGGGCGUAAAGCGCACGUAGGCGGAUUCUUAAGUCGGUGGUGAAAGCCUGGAGCUUAACUCAGAACGGCCAAGUGAUACUGCAGUGCUAGAGUGUGGAAGGGGCAAUCGGAAUUCUUGGUGUAGCGGUGAAAUGCGUAGAUAUCAAGAGGAACACCUGAGGUGAAGACGGGUUGCUGGGCCAACACUGACGCUGAGGCGCGAAAGCCAGGGGAGCAAACGGG
rnacentral:rRNA from 1 species